ensembl:lncRNA
AUGAAAGAAUUCUUGAAAAGCUGCCUGGAGGGAGAUUUUGGAGCCUUGAGAGAUUUCAGUGGAUUGAUGGCCUUCCUUCUGAAUUUUUACUUGAUGACAAACAUUUUGUCAAAAUUCAAAAGUAUUAACCUAUUAUUUUUCUGUUUGUUUCUUCCAGUAGACUGUGCACACCUCAAGGAUACCAAAUCUUACUUUGCAUCUGUAACAGGUGCUGUGGAUACAAUGAACAGAGGUGUGUUCCCUGCCCUUAAGAAGCUCAUGGCUGGGUGUGGUAGCUCACACCUGUAAUCCCAGCACUUUGGGAGGCCGAGGCAGGUGGAUCACCUGAGGUCAGGAGUUCAAGACCAGCCUGACCAACGUGGUGAAACUCUGUCUCUACUAAAACUACAAAAAUCAGCUAGGUGUGAUGGCCGGCACCUGUAAUCCCAGCCACUUGGGAGGCUGAGACAGGAAGAAUCACUUGAAUGUGGGAGGCAGAGGUUGCAGUGAGCCGAGGUUGCACCACUGUACUCCAGCCUGAAUGACAGAGUGAAACUGUCUCCAAAAAAAAAAAAGAAAGAAAGAAAGAAGCUGGUAACUGGGGCCAGACAGAUCUAUCAGAAAAUAAGAACACAGAAGCAUUACCCGUGGAACUAAGGGAGGAGACCACCCUUCAUAUCGUCUUAUGCCCAAUUUCUGCCUCCAAAGAAAGAAGAAGUGAAAACUAAAAGGCAGAAAUGAAAUCCACAGGCAGACAGCCGGUGCCGCACCCUGGGCCUGGUAGUUAAAGAUCGACCCCUGACCUAAUCGGUUAUGUUUUCUAUAGAUUACAGACAUUGUAUAUAAAUGCACUGUGAAAAUCCCUAUCUUGUUUUGUUCCAAUCUAAUGACCGGUGCAUGCAGCCCCCAGUCACGUACCCCCUGCUUGCUCAAUCAAUCACGACCCUCUCACAUGCAUGCCCUUAGAGUUGUGAGCCCUUAAAAGGGACAGGAAUGGCCCACUCGGGGAGCUCAGCACUUGAGACAGUCGUCUUGCUGAUGCCUCGGGCCGAAUAAACCCCUUCCUUCUUUAACUCAGUGUCUGAGGAGUUUUGUCUGCGGCUCCUCCUCCUACAAAAUGAGAGAAGGACACAGACCAGUCGGCACAAACUGCAGGUCAGAUGUAGCCCAUGUAAGUGUUUGUUUGAUUCGACAGUGUCUUUAAAAAAUUUAAAUUGGUUUUCACAAAUUAAUUUUUAUUUCUGACUUCUCUUAAAAAACUCAGAAGAUCCAGCAACUCUGAGCCAGAGUUGCAGAAUGGCAACAUUAGGCCAGAGCUGAGUCAGAACCAGCCCUUUUAGCAGGAGAGAGGAAGCCCUGUGAAUGGGGACGGGCUGCGAGUAGGGGAAGUGGUAGGGAUGUCAGGCAGAGGGUAUAUUUUGAUGGUGGUACAUGCUUAACUAACCAGCCAACCAUAUAUAAACCCAUAUGCAUUCCAACAGACCCAUUCUUCUGUUUUGCCUAUAACAAUGUUCAAUAAAUGUCUGUGAAAUGAAUAAAAACAUGAUCAAAGAAUUUUACUCCUGAAAGAGAUCAUUUUAUAGGUCAUUUAACCAUCAGAAGUCUAAAGAGGCUGAGUAAUUUGCCCGAUGUAACACUAACAUGAGUCUGCAGUGGUUAACAGAUUGUACUAAAGGCUUUGGGGAACACAGGGUAAUUAUACAACACAGAACAGUAUAGUGGGCUUCUGUCAUUCUGCCUGCUUGACAUCCUUUUCUCCUCUCUGAAAAUAGCACUCUUAUUUUGCUUAGAGGGCUACAAUUCCUUCUUUUUUCAUGUGGCCCUGGUGGAACUGAGUCCAUCUGGCAUCAGGAAUGGCAUGAGAUCCAGGCCCGGUCAACCAUACCCAUCCACCUGGAGCUAUUGGGAAAGAGGUAUAAUUUUUCCAUGGGGGUUGCUGAGAAGAAAAGAUUAAGUCUGAAUGAUGCUGUUGGUACCCAAUCUAAGACAGCAUGAUGUAAAUGAAAAGAUGAUAAGUUACAUUACCUUGGGUAAAUUGCUUAACUAUUCUGAGCCUUGGUUACCACAUCUGUAAAUGGAAAUAACAAUAUCUACUUCAAAGGGCUGUUGUCUGGCUGGAAAGAAAUAAUGUAUGUAAAAUGCCUGGCACACAGUAGGAGCUCAUUAAUGCUGGCAUUCUUUCUUUCCCUUCCAGAUAAUGUCAGAUGGAUAUAGCAUUACUGUAAUUAAAAUGUAAGAAGUGCAUUGGCAGACUUUCCUUACAACAUAUUGAGAACAGCUUUUUCAGUAGCUACCUUAUGUGAUUUCAGGGAAUUGGGGAGGGAAAAGAAAAUAAAAUGCAGCUUGCUUUCCUGGAACAAUUCAAGCCAUACCCAAUGCCUGCCAAGUGUAACCCAUAAGUUGAUGUCUGCAUCCAUCUAUUAUCUCACCUCUAUAUAGAUAAAGUGGUUUUCCUCCCUGCCCACUAGCUAUUGUAUUUUUAAAAUGGAAACGCUUUUGAAUCCCUGGCAAUCAUGUAGCUGACAGUUUGGAUCAUAACAUAAUAAUAACAUUAGGAGCAGCUGUAUGACACUUCCUGCUUUGAAAGCAUGUUACAAAUCUGAGCUAAUUAGCAUGAAUGCUAACAUGCCAGCUUUUUAUGGAUUAAUA